GUUCUUGAAUUUUAAUUUUGCUCGGACCCCGUUAAUCACCGCUUGCGUUUAUAUUUGUUAUUAUUUUUGUUAAAUGUUAGUUUCACCUUGUUACUAAUUAAUUGACUAAAGUGUGUUUGUACAGUGCUACCUUAUAUAUAGUAAAAUGACAAAGGACUUAAUGCAGUGGUGUAACAGUAUGGAUGAACUGUAUGUUUGAAAACAGCCUGCAGGUCUAGAGACAUCCAUCCCUCCAGCUCCCUCCAGUGAAACACAGCCUGCAGGUCUAGAGACAUCCAUCCCUCCAGCUCCCUCCAGUGAAACACAGCCUGCAGGUCUAGAGACAUCCAUCCCUCCAGCUCCCUCCAGUGAAACACAGCCUGCAGGUCUAGAGACAUCCAUCCCUCCAGCUCCCUCCAGUGAAACACAGCCUGCAGGUCUAGAGACAUCCAUCCCUCCAGCUCCCUCCAGUGAAACACAGCCUGCAGGUCUAGAGACAUCCAUCCCUCCAGCUCCCUCCAGUGAAACACAGCCUGCAGGUCUAGAGACAUCCAUCCCUCCAGCUCCCUCCAGUGAAACACAGCCUGCAGGUCUAGAGACAUCCAUCCCUCCAGCUCCCUCCAGUGAAACACAGCCUGCUGAAGAAACUACACCACUAAUGUCCAGUGAAUCUCCUGCACCAACCGGGGACCAACAAGAACACACUUCAAGAACAAGUACCCCUGAUGUAACUAUGGAUGGUCAUGAUGAUGACCAGAGUCUGGAUGCCCUCGCCUACCGGUCUGGUACUGGACAGCUAGACAUUGAGAUGGGUCCAGUCCAAAAGCUGCCCAAAGAACGUAACAGGAUUCUUUAA
rnacentral:lncRNA from 1 species